rnacentral:tRNA from 1 species
GUCGAUAUAACUCAGCGGUAGUGUAAUUGCUUUGUAAUCAAUCGGUCGUUGGUUCAAUUCUGAUCAUUGGUU